rnacentral:rRNA from 1 species
AUUGAACGCUGGCGGAAUGCUUUACACAUGCAAGUCGAACGGCAGCACGGGUGCUUGCACCUGGUGGCGAGUGGCGAACGGGUGAGUAAUACAUCGGAACGUACCCAGUCGUGGGGGAUAACGUAGCGAAAGUUACGCUAAUACCGCAUACGUCCUGAGGGAGAAAGCGGGGGACCGUAAGGCCUUGCGCGAUUGGAGCGGCCGAUGGCGGAUUAGCUAGUUGGUGGGGUAAAGGCCUCCCAAGGCGACGAUCCGUAGCGGGUCUGAGAGGACGGCCCGCCACACUGGAACUGAGACGCGGUCCAGACUCCUACGGGAGGCAGCAGUGGGGAAUUUUGGACAAUGGGCGAAAGCCUGAUCCAGCCAUUCCGCGUGAGUGAAGAAGGCCUUCGGGUUGUAAAGCUCUUUCGGCAGGGAAGAAACGGCUUGGGAUAAUACCCCGGGCUAAUGACGGUACCUGAAGAAGAAGCACCGGCUAACUACGUGCCAGCCGCCGCCGUAA